rnacentral:rRNA from 1 species
CCCGCAACGAGCGCAACCCUUGCCAUUAUUUGCUACAUUCAGUUGAGCACUCUAAUGGGACUGCCGGUGACAAACCGGAGGAAGGUGGGGAUGACGUCAAGUCCUCAUGGCCCUUAUAGGUGGGGCUACACACGUCAUACAAUGGCUGGUACAAAGGGUUGCCAACCCGCGAGGGGGAGCUAAUCCCAUAAAGCCAGUCGUA